CAAAAGCUGAUAAGGUCCGAAAAUGGGCCCGGAUUCGAUUGUCCCUUAGUGCCAUCGAGAGUACAAUGAGUUUACGCAUUAAGGAGAGAAAGAAUAUGAAAGAUGAGCAGAUAGGUCGAAAUCAUCCUCCAUCCAUAGAAGAGGACUUUGAGGAAGUGCUCUCUUUUAAUUUGAUAUCAGAUGACAGUGGGAAUGAAUCCUUGGAAGCAAGUGCUACUGCUAAUGGGAUCUCACCAGAACCUUUCUUUCCUUGGAAAGAAGAACUAGUGUGCCUUGUUCGUGGGGGACUGCCAAAGGCUCUCAGGGGAGAGGUAUGGCAAGCAUUUGUUGGUGCAAGAAAACGCCAGAUGGAGAGAUAUUACUAGAAUUUGAUAGCUUCAGAAACUAAUGCUGGUGAGGGCAAGGAUUAUGGUAGCUCUUUAUCAGUCAGUGGCAGUAAGCAGCCCAACGCAGAUCAUGCCAUACCUGAGAAAUGGAGAAGGCGGAUUGAGAAGGUCAUUAGAUGCAUGGGCCUUGGACUUUAUCGUUCAAUCUUUUUGAUUCGAUUUGCCUCGAACAUUCCCAGGCCAUCCUGCUCUAGACGAGGUUGGUAGAGAUUCCUUAAGCCGUUUGCUUUUAGCGUAUGCUCAACAUAACCCCUCUGUUGGGUAUUGUCAGCAGGCAAGCCCAGACCAUUGGAAGAGCCACAUUUUGGAGCAGCUGCUGUCAUUUUCUUCAAUCACAACUCCUCAUGGCUUAGUGG